CAACUUAAGAAUAAAAAAAACUAACAAGAUCUACUGCCAACAAGGAUGUGAAACAAUCAGACUUCUCAUAUAUCACUAGUGGUAAUGCAAAGGAUUUUGGCCACCCCACAGCAUAUGGUGUUCCUGGGCUAGGGAUCCAGUCUGAGCCCCAGUCUUGACCUUAGCCGAAGCAGCAGCAAUACCAGAUCCUUAAUGCACUGUGCCAGGCCAGGAAUGGAACCUGCUUCCCAGAAUUCCAAAUAUGCUGCUGAUCCUGUUGUGCCACUGCAGGAAUAAGUAAUGCAAAAAAUUAAAGCAGCCAUGGAAAAUAUUUUGGCAAUUUCUUUUUUAUUGUAAUUAUAGUUGAUUUACAACAUUGUACCAAUUUCUGCUGUACAGCAAAGUGACCCAGGAAGUACAUAUAUUCCCUUCCCUAUAUUAUCUUCCAUCAUAGUCUAUCCAAGGGACUGGAUAUACUUCCCUGUGCUAUAAAGUAGGGCCUCAUUGCUUAUACAUUCUAAAUGUAAUAGUUUACAUCUACUCCUCCCUCCCCCUUGGCAAACACAAGACUGUUCUCUAUGUCUGUGAGUCUGUUUCUGUUUUGUAGAUAGGUUCAUUUGUGCCAUAUUUUAGAUUCCACAGGUAGCUGACAUCAUAUGGCAUUUGUCUUUCUCUUUCUGACUUAAUUCACUCAGUAUGAGAAUCUCUAGUUCCAUCCAUAUUGCUGCAAAUGGCAUUGUUUUAUUCUUUUUCAUGGCUGAGUAUUAUUCCACUGUAUAUUACCACAUCCUCAUUCAUUCAUCUGUCAAUGGACAUUUGGGUUUUUUCCAUGUCUUGGCUAUUGUGAAUAGUGCUGCAAUUAACAUAGGGGUGAGUGUAUUUUUUGAAUGAAUAUUUUGUCCAGAUAUAUGUCCAGGAGUGGGAUUGCUCAGUCAUAUGGUAGUUCUACAUUUAUUUUUCUGAGGAACCUCCAUACUGUUUUCCAUAGUGGUUGUACCACUUUACAUUCCCACCAACAGUGUAGGAGGAUUCCCUUUUCUCCACACCCUCUCCAGCAUUAUUAUUUGUAAAAUUAUUAAUGAUGGCCAUUCUGACUGGUAUGAGGUGGCACCUCUUUGUAGUUUUGAUUUGCAUUUCUCUAAUAUUUUAGUGAUGUUGAGCAUUUUUUCAUUUGCCUACUGGCCAUACGUAUGUCUUCUUUGGAGAAAGGUCUAUUUAGGUCUUCUAGCUGUGGCAACAUCUUGAAAUAAGACAGGAAUGAUAUUUGCCACAUUGAUGGGGGUCUCCUUUCACAAAUGAUUUCUCUGUAAUAUGCAACACUAAUUGAUAGCAUUUUACCCACUGUAGAGCUUCUUGCAAAAUUGGAAUCAGACUUCUCAGACCCUGCCACUACUUUAGCAACUAAGUUUACAUACUCAUCUAAAUUCUUUGUACACAUUUCAACAACCUUCACAGCAUCUUCACCAGGAGGUAGGCCUGUAAGGUUCUUUAAUGCCUUUAACAUAGUCCUAAUCAUCUCUUUUAGAGAGAGCUUAUCACGCUGCCUCUACUUAAAAUCUUGUAUCACUUACUUUUUAUCUUUUCGUGUUUUCUUAUAUUUCUUUUUCUACUUUAUUUAUCCAAAUAUGUCCUUUUUAAUUUUGCAUAAACAACUGAAAUAGUCUCUUUCUUCAGUUCAUCUUUGCACACCUCAAUUCAUCUUAUGCAAUGGCUCCCUGAAGCUCAGAUUAAGUCAUAUUUAUUGGCUGCCUAUGAACCAGAGUCUAUGCUAAGCACAGGAAAUGAAUAGUACAAGGGUUCAAUCCCUACCCUCAUAAAUUCGGGUCCAGAGGAAAAGGCCAAUAUGUAAACAGAUGAUUGUAAUCCACUGAACAUUUUCUACUACAGUUUUUUUAAUUUAUAAAAUAGAAGCAAUAAUUAUACUUACAACCCAAAGUAUGGAGAAAAUAAAUGAGUUAAUAGCUAAGUAAGUGCUUAGUAAUGGUCUGGCACAUGGUAAUCAUAUAAUAAUAAACACUAGCCAUUAAUAUAAUUAACUCCAAAGUACCAAGUACAGUAUUAUGAACUAUGAUUAUCCUCAUUUUCAGACGGUGGAUGUAAAUUACUUUUUUAGGAGUUCCCAUGGUGACUCAGAGAAAAUGAACCUGACUAGUAUCCAUGAGGACAUGGGUUCAAUCCCUGGCCUCACGGAGUGGGCCAGGGAUCCAGCAUUGCCCUGAGCACCUGGUACAGGUGACAGACACAGCUCAGAUCUGGUCUUGCUGUGGCUGUGGUGUAGGCCGGCGGCUGCAGCUCCGAUUCAAUCCCCAGCCUAGCCUGGGAACUCCAUAUGCUGUGAGUGCAGCCCUAAAAAGCAAAAAUAAAUAAAUAAAUGAAUGAAUGAAUGAAUGAAUAAAUAACUUUUUCAAGCCACCCAAUGUGUUGAGGGAUCUUGAACAAAGCUAAAACUUUGAAGUCUAUUUACCCAGAUAUCCCAUAAAGGAUUAUAAUUUUACAAAUAAAAUAAACUGUGUCCUCUUACUUUAAUUAUCUUUUCCCAAUAUAUUUUUGAAGGUAUUUCUGUGAUGAAAUUCAGCAGAAGAUGAUUCCCAUUUUCUUCCCAAGCAUGUGGUUUCUACAGAGGGGCACAGUGACAAUCUACAUUCUAUUUUUCCAGACUGUGCCAUAUCAUUCUUGCUAGCACUCACAGCUCAGGCAUUUUUUUCCUCUUCCAAUAGUCAUACAUAUUUAUUGGCAUAAAAUGAAAUCUCGUCUUCCACAAAAUGAAUUAUGAAUAUUAGAUAUAAAAAGUAAUAGCUACAAUGAAAGGGCAGACUGGAAAAUAAGAUUCAGAAGUCCUAACACCCUGAGGAAUUGAAAAAAUAAAAUGACAUUAUGCUUUCCUGAAUCCCAAAGAUAAUCUCUGAAAGUAUCCCAAAGAAAGCCUAGAGGAUUUGAUAAGAAUCAAAAACUAUCAUCCAUUUCCAAACAUGCACAGAAAAAUAUGUUUUUCCAGGCUGCCAAGAUAAAUGCAAAACAGAAGGGUUUUUUUUUAAAUCCCACAUUAGGGUUUUUUAGAUAUGUUACAGAAUAAUUUUAAAAAAUAGACAGGCUGCCCUUAAAAAUAGGAAUGCAUAAGAUUCUUGCAGUGCAGUAAGGUGGAAAUAGCAGAAUGCAAAGGCCUGUAUUCUGAAGUGAGCAGCACACAUAACUAGCUCUAGACUCUGCACAAGGUACUUAAUCAUUAUGCCAAAGCUAUAAAAGUUGGAGAUAAUGACAUCUAUUCUUGCCUAUCUUGCUUAUUGUUGUUGAUGAGAACAAUAAUAACUAGCAUUUGUGCAGGAAUAUAAAAACAACCUUUUUUCUCACAAAUACUAUUUUAUUUAGUUACUACAACAAUCCUAGAUAUUAUUACUAUUAUUAUUAUAUUAUUAUAACUAAUUAUAGCUAAUUAUUAUAUUAUAACUAGAUGUUAUUACUAUUAUUAUUAUUAUCAUCAUUAUAUUCUUUUGACAAAUGGGGAAGCUGAAGAUCAAAGAAUUUUUAACCAACCUGCCUGAGGUCAGAGUAAGUGAUAAGGCAGGACUCAACCCACAUCUUCUAACUUUACACUUUUGCUUGACCCACUGAACUAUAAUUCUUUGAAUACAGGACUUUUUACCAUCAUAUUCUCAGGCUAAGCAUCAUCCCCAGCACAUAAUAGCUACUCGGUAAAUAUCUGAUAAGCUGAGGGGAACCAUAUAUACCAUCGUGGGAGAUCUGGUUCACCAAAUUUCAGCCAGAGAGACACUAAAUUCUAUAGGAUAGGAGGGAAGGUUCUGAAUUUUUUAAAUUUCUAUGAUUUAAAUGUAAUCUAAAAUAUCAUACCAAAGCCAUUCAGGGCACCUUUGGUUGUCUGUGAAGAACAAAUAUACUCUCGAUGGGGAAAAAAAUGACAAAUUUUCCUUACACAAGAAUUUCAAAAAUCUGUAGAUAUUCCCCCAGCCAGGGGGAUUGGAUUAGGAAGAUGUGGUAUAUAUACACAAUGGAAUACUACUCAGCCAUAAAAAAGAACAAAAUAAUGCCAUUUGCAGCAACAUGGAUGAAACUAGAGACUCUCAAACUGAGUGAAGUCAGAACGAGAAAGACAAAUACCAUAUGAUAACACUUAUAUCUGGAAUCUAAUAUGCAACACAAAUGAACCUUUCCACAGAAAAGAAAACCAUGGACUCGGAGAAUAGACUUGUGGUUGCCUGGGGGAGGGGGAGGGAGUGGGAUGGAUUCAGAGCUUAGUUUUAAUGGAUGCAAACUAUUGCUUUUGGAAUGGAUUAGCAAUGAGAUCCUGCUGUGUAGCACUGAGAACUAUGUCUAGUCACUUAUGACAGAGCAUGAUAAUGGGAGAAAAAAAGAAUGUACACAUGUAUGUGUAAAUGGGUCACCAUGCGUACAGUAGAAAAAAAUUGUUUUGGGGAAAUAACAAUAAAAAAAAAACAUUGUACUAAAAUGUCCUAAUCAGGAAAGCAAAAAGAAACCAAAACUCUAUAGGAACAGAUAAAGAGAAUUGUCUUUCUUUGUAAACAACAUGAUUAUCUAUGCAGAAAAAUUUAAGAAAUCUAAAAGAAAAAAAAAUCUACUUAAACUGAUAAAGGAGUUAGUAAUGUCACAGAAUACAUGUAAAAUAUAAACUACUCUAUAUUAGCAAUAAGCAAUUUAGAACCUAAAAUUUUUUUAAUAUUUUCAAUAGCAUUAAGAAAUAUGAACUACUUAGGAAUCAAUUUAACAAAGAUUAUGAAAGACCUAUGAAAAUUGCAAAACACUGUUUAGAAGUAUUAAAGAAGAUCUAAACAAACAUAUCAUGUUCAUGGGUUGGAAGACACAACAUUGAUGAGGUUUGUCAAGUCUCCCCAAAUUGAUCUGAAGAUUUAAUGCAAUCUUAAUCAAAACCUACCUGAUUUAUGUAGAAAUGCAAAGGAAUUAGAGAGACCAAAACAAUUUUGAAACAAACCAGCAAAGUUGAAGUGCUUAUUCUACAUGAUUUUAAGACAUACUAUAAAGCUAGAGUAAUCCAAAUAAUAUGGUGCCAGAAUAAGAAGAAACAUACAGAUCAAGGGAACAGAACAUAAAUAUACAAAUAGAGUCAAUUUUUGACAGUUUCUAAGGUAGUUCUAUAUGGAAAGGAUAAUCUCUUUAACAAAUAGCAUUGAAACAACUGGAUAUCCACAUGAAAAAAAUACAAACCUCAACCCUUACUUCAUAGCAUAUAUCAAAAAUAAAUUCAAAAUGGAUCCUAGACCUAGAGAUAAAAGCAAAGAUUAUAUGAUCAUAAAAAUAGGAGACUAUCAUUUGACUGUGGGUUAAGCAAAGAGUUCUUAGAUAUAACAGAAAAAUCAUGGAAAAAAAGAAUUUUAAAAUUGAUAAGUUGGACUUUAUCAAAAUUAAAGAACUUUGCUUUUUAAAAGCUAUUAGGAAAAUAGGAGUUCCCAUUUUGGGAAUGAACCUGACUAGUAUCCAUGAGGGCGUGGGUUCGAUCCCUGGCCUCGCCCUGUGGGUUAAGGAUCUGGCAUUGCCCUGAGGUGUAGUGUAGGUUGCAGACGCGGCUUAGAUCUCCCAUUGCUGUGGCUGUGGGGUAGGCCAGCAGCUGCAGCUCUGAUUCAACCCCUAGCCUAGCAACUUCCAUAUGCCAAGGGUGUGGCCUAGAAAAGCAAAAAAGAAGAAAAGAAAGAAAAGAAAAUAGGAGUUCCUGUUGUGGCUCAGUUGGUUAAGAAUCCAACUAGUAUCCAUGAGGAUGUAGGUUCGAUCCCCAGCCUUACUCAGUGAGUUAAGGAUCCAGCAUUGUCACAAGCUGUAGGUCACAGAUGUGGCUCAGAUCCCAAGUUGCUGAUGCUGUGGGUAGGCCAGCAGCUGCAGCUCUGAUUUGACCCCUAGCCCAGGAACUUCCAUAUGCCACAGGCAUGGCCUUAAAAAAAAAGAAAAAAAAUAGGGAAACCACAAACUGGGAGAAGUGUUUGAAAAACAUGUAUCUCAUAAAAGAUAUACAUUAAGGAUAUAUAAAGAACACUUGUAAGUCAAUAAGAUAAACAAGUCAAUUAAAAAUAUGGACAAUAUUACUAUAUACCUGUUAAACCAGCUAAAACUUAAAAAAAAGGCAACAAUACCAAAUACUGGCAAAAAUGCAGAGAAAUUAUUUCUUAGACAUUGCUGGCAGGAAUGGAAAAUGGUAUUACCAUUCUGGAAAAUAGUUUGGCAUCUUCUUGUGGAAUUAAACAUGUACUUACCACCCAGAAAUUGCACUCUUGGGCAUUUAUCCAAAAGAAAUAAAAUCGAUGUUGUGUAUAUGAAUGUUCACAGCAGCUUUAUAAAUAACCAAAAAUAAACCCCCCAAAUACCUUUCAAUGAGUGAAUGUUAAAACUCUGCUACAUCCAUCAUACAUACUAUGGAAUACCAUGCAGCAAUAAAAAGGAACAAACUAGCAAUAGAUACAACAAUCUGAGUUAAUCUGAGCAUAAAAACUAAUCUCAAAAGGCUGCAUCCUAGAUGAUUUAUUUAUAUGAUAUUCUCAAAGUGACAAAAUUUUAGAGAUAGAAAACAAACAUUAUAGCUAUAGGACAGGCAGAAAGGAUGAAAUGGGAUAUGUGAUCAGCUGUGCAUGAGAGCCCUGUGUUGACAGAAUUGUUCUGUAUCUUGAUUGUGGUAGUGAUUGCUCAAAUCCUUGCAUAGGAUAAAAUCACACAGAACUACUCACACACAAACACAUCCAUGUACAAAAAAAAAAAAAAAAAA
rnacentral:lncRNA from 1 species